UUCCUUCUCUAAAUGCUUCACCCCCUCCCUGCAGUGGGGAGAAAGUCAACCACGCUUUCCAGAGGGUUCAGGGACGGGUGUUCAUUUUUGAGGGACAAUCGGGGACUGGCAGUCUUGGCUGCCUGCUGGUCGCUGUCGUGCUUCUGGGGGGAGGGCUGAGCAACUUCCCUGACCCCAAAAGCUCCAGCCGUGCUCUGAGGCUGGCCCGGUGCCAAUACGCUUCCUGUAGCUGAUAUAUUUUUAUCUCAUCCUCGGAAUCAGCGACACCACCAACUGCAACACCAGCUGCAGGGGAGAAGAGAACCUCUGCCAGAUCAGCCAGCACAGCGCCCUAAGAUAAGGUCCAUAUGGCUUGUACCUGAGAGCUCCCUGACUCAAGUGCUUUGCCUAGAUGAGCCUGGGAUGCUUUGAUCCGGAGCCAGGUCCCUGCUGCGCCAGCAACACAGCACAGCCCCAGAGCCCAGCACCGAGGCCCAGGUCCUGGCUCCGGAGGCCCCUCCAGCGCUGGCCCGCAGCGGCAGCCAGACCCUCCUCAGGAAAGGACCCACGCCAGAUCAAAGUUUCUUAGAGCACACAAGGAUCCAUUGUUUCAAGAACUGCUACAAAUUAGCAGUUGCAGUUAAAAUAAAGGGUGGAGGUAUUUUUCUUAGCCUCAUUUAAAACUGUUUGGAGUAAUUAUCCUGAAGUACAUUGAUAAAAUAGAAGUCCCUUAAGGGCUGCCAAUUCUGUAGGGAUCCCAUUCAGCCCCACAUUGUUGUCGGAUAUCUGAUCAGGACAUGAUGAUGUGUUGGAGGCAGAGUGGAGCUAAACUGAACUAACUGCUCACCGAAAGACAACUUCCAUUGCCUCUGGCAGCUUUAAGGAGUUUUAGUGGCUGCACCCAUGGAUUUCUCCCAGAGUUAAUGAGGAAAGAGGACCCACUAUAUACCCAGCACGAAGUGGGAAGGGAGGCAUCCCUCCGGCAUGCAGAUGUCUAAACUAGAUCCUUCACCCAUGCCUGAACCCCUCUGCGAUUCUGGAUGUACAAAAGGCAAAAUGUAGAUUACAUGGUCAGAAGGCUAUGCUGGUUUUGCCUGGGAUAGAGUUAAUUUUCUUCAGAGUAGCUAUUAUGAGGCUAUGUUUUGGAUCUGUACUGAAAACAGUGUUGAUAACACAGAGAUGUUUUCAUUACUGCUGAGCAGUGCUUACACAGAGCCAAGGCCUUUUCUGCUUCUCACCCCACCCCACCAGUGAGGAUGCUGGGGGGGGCACAAGAAUUUGGGAGGGGACACAGCUGGGACAGCUGACCCCAACUGACCAAAGGGAU